AGUGAACGCUGGCGGUAGGCCUAACACAUGCAAGUCGAACGGCAGCACAGUAAGCGCUUGCUCUUACGGGUGGCGAGUGGCGGACGGGUGAGGAAUACAUCGGAAUCUACUUUUUCUUGGGGGAUAACGUAGGGAAACUUCCGCUAAUACCGCAUACGACCUACGGGUGAAAGCAGGGGAUCUUCAGACCUUGCGCGAUUGAAUGAGCCGAUGUCGGAUUAGCUAGUUGGCGGGGUAAAGGCCCACCAAGGCGACGCUCCGUAGCUGGUCUGAGAGGAUGAUCAGCCACACUGGAACUGAGACACGGUCCAGACUCCUACGGGAGGCAGCAGUGGGGAAUAUUGGACAAUGGGCGCAAGCCUGAUCCAGCCAUACCGCGUGAGUGAAGAAGGCCUUCGGGUUGUAAAGCCCUUUUGUUGGGAAAGAAAAGCAGCAUGUGAAUACCCCGCUGUUCUGACGGUACCCAAAGAAUAAGCACCGGCUAACUUCGUG
rnacentral:rRNA from 1 species